AACGAACGCUGGCGGCAGGCUUAACACAUGCAAGUCGAACGCCCCGCAAGGGGAGUGGCAGACGGGUGAGUAACGCGUGGGAAUCUACCCAUCUCUGCGGAAUAGCUCCGGGAAACUGGAAUUAAUACCGCAUACGCCCUACGGGGGAAAGAUUUAUCGGGGAUGGAUGAGCCCGCGUUGGAUUAGCUAGUUGGUGGGGUAAAGGCCUACCAAGGCGACGAUCCAUAGCUGGUCUGAGAGGAUGAUCAGCCACAUUGGGACUGAGACACGGCCCAAACUCCUACGGGAGGCAGCAGUGGGGAAUAUUGGACAAUGGGCGCAAGCCUGAUCCAGCCAUGCCGCGUGAGUGAUGAAGGCCUUAGGGUUGUAAAGCUCUUUCACCGAUGAAGAUAAUGACGGUAGUCGGAGAAGAAGCCCCGGCUAACUUCGUGCCAGCAGCCGCCGUAAAAC
rnacentral:rRNA from 1 species